rnacentral:rRNA from 1 species
UACAGAGGGUGCGAGCGUUAAUCGGAAUUACUGGGCGUAAAGCGUGCGUAGACGGCUAUCUAAGUCGGGUGUGAAAGCCCCGGGCUCAACCUGGGAAUUGCAUUCGAGACUGAAUAGCUAGGGUGCGGUAGAGGGAAGCGGAAUUUCCGGUGUAGCGGUGAAAUGCGUAGAUAUCUGGAGGAACACCGGUGGCGAAGGCGGCGAUCCUGGACCG